GGGAGGGAGAGAAAGAAAGAAGUGGGAUAAGAGAGGUGGAAAAGAAGGAGAGAAGGGAAAUUAUCAUAUUUCUCUCAGAAGGAUCGAACAUAGUAGAAAUUUGGAUCUUUUGGUGACAAUGCAUCAAUUUCUUAUUCGUUCCUUCGUUUCUCACUUUCUUUCUUCCUUCCUUUUCCUUUUUUUC